rnacentral:rRNA from 1 species
AGAGUUUGAUCCUGGCUCAGGACGAACGCUGGCGGCGUGCCUAACACAUGCAAGUCGAGCGGAGACAGUGAGUAGCUUGCUAUGAGCUUGUUUUAGCGGCGGACGGGUGAGUAACGCGUGAGCAACCUUUCCCAGACGAGGGAAUAACACACCGAAGGUGUACUAAUACCGCAUAAGACCGACGGGAUCACAUGGUUCGU